AUGUCGACUUGGAGGUUGUGCCCUUGAGGCGUGGCUUCCGGAGCUAACGCGUUAAGUCGACCGCCUGGGGAGUACGGCCGCAAGGUUAAAACUCAAAUGAAUUGACGGGGGCCCGCACAAGCGGUGGAGCAUGUGGUUUAAUUCGAUGCAACGCGAAGAACCUUACCUGGUCUUGACAUCCACAGAACCUUGUAGAGAUACGAGGGUGCCUUCGGGAACUGUGAGACAGGUGCUGCAUGGCUGUCGUCAGCUCGUGUUGUGAAAUGUUGGGUUAAGUCCCGCAACGAGCGCAACCCUUAUCCUUUGUUGCCAGCGGUCCGGCCGGGAACUCAAAGGAGACUGCCAGUGAUAAACUGGAGGAAGGUGGGGAUGACGUCAAGUCAUCAUGGCCCUUACGACCAGGGCUACACACGUGCUACAAUGGCGCAUACAAAGAGAAGCGACCUCGCGAGAGCAAGCGGACCUCAUAAAGUGCGUCGUAGUCCGGAUUGGAGUCUGCAACUCGACUCCAUGAAGUCGGAAUCGCUAGUAAUCGUGGAUCAGAAUGCCACGGUGAAUACGUUCCCGGGCCUUGUACACACCGCCCGUCACACCAUGGGAGUGGGUUGCAAAAGAAGUAGGUAGCUUAACCUUCGGGAGGGCGCUUACCACUUUGUGAUUCAUGACUGGGGUGAAGUCGUAACAAGGUAACCGUAGGGGAACCUGCGGUUGGAUCAC
rnacentral:rRNA from 1 species